rnacentral:rRNA from 1 species
GUAACGAAUAUUCCGCAAUGCGCGAAAGCGUGACGGAGCAAUGCCGCGUGCAGGAUGAAGCAGCUUCGCUGUGUAAACUGCUGUCAGGGGCUACUAACUAUGAAGAGCCUCAGAGGAAGGACCGGCUAAACUCGUGCCAGCAGCCGCGGUAAUACGAGUGGUCCAAGCGUUAGUCGGAAUCACUGGGCUUAAAGGGUGCGUAGGCGGGCCAGAAAGCGUCUUGUGAAAUCCCCCGGCUCAACCGGGGAACAGCAGGGCGAACUACUGGUCUUGAGGAAGGUAGAGGCCGGCAGAACGAUCGGUGGAGCGGUGGAAUGCGUAGAGAUCGAUCGGAAUGCCAAAGGUGAAGACAGCCGGCUGGGCCUUUCCUGACGCUGAGGCACGAAAGCGUGGGGAGCAAACAGGAUUAGAUACCCCGGUAGUCC